rnacentral:rRNA from 1 species
CCUACGGGAGGCAGCAGUGAGGAAUAUUGGUCAAUGGGCUUACGCCUGAACCAGCCAAGUCGCGUGAGGGAAGACUGCCCUAUGGGUUGUAAACCUCUUUUGUCAGGGAGCAAUUGGCGCUACGUGUAGCGUUAUCGAGAGUACCUGCAGAAAAAGCAUCGGCUAACUCCGUGCCAGCGGCCGCGGUAAUAGGGAGGAUGCGAGCUUUAUCCGGAUUUAUUGGGUUUAAAGGGUGCGUAGGCGGAAUGCCAAGUCAGCGGUAAAAUCGCGGGGCUAAACCUCGCUCUGCCGUUGAAACUGGCGUUCUUGAGUGGGCGAGAAGUAGGUGGAAUGCGUGGUGUAGCGGUGAAAUGCAUAGAUAUCACGCAGAACUCUGAUUGCGAAGGCAGCAUACCGGAGCCCAACUGACGCUGAAGCACGAAAGCGUGGGUAUCGAACAGGAUUAGAUACCCCAGUAGUC